CUUCCCGACUACACUUCCUAGCUUCUCUCGAGAACCGUCUCUACGAUUGUCGUGGGAACAUGCGAUCGGGAGACCAGACCUUGUGCCAACAAAACACAGCGUGGUCUGCUCGAAGCACUUCAGAAACGAAGACUUCGACAGAACUUCGCUAACACACGUACGGGUCCGUCUACGUGAAGGUGCUGUCCCCAUUCCUUCGCUGCAGGUUCAGCAGUUGCUUGGGAAGGAGCCAGACGUUGCUGGAGUGAGCGAUCCCGAACCCAGCGCACAAGAGGCAAGAGCAUUGAUGACAGUAUGUGUAUUAUAAUAAACAGCACAUCUUCUUAUUAUCCCAUCACAGUUGCUUGAGGAACAGUCAAGCAUGCCAGGAGUGAGCAUGCCAGAACCCAGUGCACAAGAGGCAGGACAUGUGCACGAGGUCGCGGAUAUGCCUUCUGUGCCUCCUUCACCUGCUUUGG